GCAGGCGUCGUCAGGGUUGGGAUCGAACCCACGACCUCCUGUGUACCAGGCGAGGUAGUUAACAUCUGGCUACCAUAGCGAAGUUCAACAGACACCCGACACAGCCAAUCAGCAAGGCUGUACAUGUGAAUAGGAGGUGUCCUCAAUCACCGUGACUACCUCAGCACCACAGCGGUUUGUGUGUUGGGUGGGCAGACCCUCCCUGAACAACGUUUUACAAUUCGAGUCGACGACGUUUCGGCGUUGUCACCGUUGCCAGUUUGUGCUCCACGCGCACAAACCCACCGCCGGGCACGCGUGUCCCCUACUGUCUAUGUGCGGCGUUGAAACUUCUUUGGUACCGUACGUAGCUAACCGUGGGUGGCUUUAUCGGAGGGGGUGGGAGAGGGAGGAGGGACAGACUCAACGCGCAUGAAGUAGUUUCGAAAGAAACGAGUUUGUCAAUGUGGACGACGAUGAUGAGGAUUUAAAAGUGCACUGCACAGCUCCCCAAGUGGCUUCCUGGUAUAUCGCAAAGGGAGAGAGCGUUCCAGACGGCCGCAGAAGCGCGUCCGAGAGACGCCGCGCGAUGGCGCGGUGACCCCCCCUCCCCCCCCCCGCCGCCGCCUUUGUCCGACGGUUUGGCCAGAACCAAAAAGAAGCCGCGCACGUUCUGAUCGCAAACGUGGCGCGCAUUACCUGUGGGCCCGCGUCGGGUGGUGGUAGGGGUGGGGAGGGGGGGGGUUACGACACAUUUCACAUUUUACAUUCGCGCGAUCUCAACCCCUAACCCGACGACACUUUUAUAACGAACAAUGUCGGCUGUUAACUCUGCUAUGUGCUGUUUGCUGUUGUGCACCGCGUGCUUGCGAUGUUGGGGCAUGGGGCGGGGUGGAUACUGGAGAGUCACAGCCGUCCGUAGCGGUACGGGAGGAGAGACGAGGCGACCGACCGUCCGUCCGUCCGUCCUGGGCCCCGCGCUUUUUUUUUGGGGGGGGGGGGGGUGAAGGUGAUCAGCACCCCCCACCACCCCCCCGUGGACCGGGCAGCACUGACUUGGCUUUGCUUGCACUGACGCCUUGUGUGUGUGUGUGUGUAAACCCCCUGGCUGCGUGCCGAUGCUUGCGGUGGUUACUUGAAGCGAAUUCAGUGGUGGCGGUGGUUGCCGCGGCGGCUGGCGCGCUGUUGGGGCGGGGAUGGGCCGGGGUGGGAUCGACGAAGCGGGCAGGGGGUGUAGCGAGGAGGGAGACGCAGAUGAGAGAGAGAUGAUAGGGACGCAGUGAGAUGAGACACAGAUGAGACACAGAUGGGACACAGGUGAGACACAGAUGGGACAGACGCAGUGAGAUGAGACACAGAUGGGACAGACGCAGUGAGACGGGACACAGAUGGGACAGACGCAGUGAGACGGGACACAGAUGGGACACAGGUGAGACACAGAUGAGACACAGAUGGGACAGACGCAGUGAGACGGGACACAGAUGGGACACAGGUGAGACACAGAUGAGACACAGAUGGGACAGACGCAGUGAGACGGGACACAGAUGGGACACAGGUGAGACACAGAUGAGACACAGAUGGGACAGACGCAGUGAGAUGGGACACAGAUGAGACACAUGGGACAGACGCAGUGAGAUGAGACACAGAUGAGACACAGAUGGGACACAGAUGGGACACAGGUGAGACAGAUGGGACAGACGCAGUGAGACGAGACAGAUGGGACAGACGCAGUGAGAUGAGACAGCAUUGGGUAAGACAGAUCGGAGAGAUGUCGACAAAAGCGAUAUCAAUGUAGUGACGAGGCAGAUAGAUUAUAUACGAGACACAAAUUGGCGUUAUGUUAAUUCGGACAGUUCAUUUACUGUAAUUUGAUAUCGCCCCCUAAUUAUAAUUUUAAAAUCAUGAAUCCUCCCCCCCACCCAAUCCUCUUGAGAUACUUGGGACUGGGAGGGCGCUUUGCAUUUGCUUCGCUUGUGCAUUACAGCCACCACUGAAUCGAAUGUUUGUGUCUCAACACACUGGGGAAGUGACCUGUGAAAAUAAUAAUAAUAUAUAGCCGUCGUCAUGGAGAAUGUUAAUAGUUUGCAUCAUGAAUGCCUCCUCCACAUCUCUUUCUUUACACGUAAAGUUUAAAAAGCAUAAAUAUGUAACGUAUAAAUCACGCGUCCCACUCGCCACUAAGGGAUAAAUAAAUACACAAGUACAAACUCUGGACCGGUUUCGACUUUCACUGGCUCAUCAGCAGCAGCAGAGUCCGACUUUGCUUGAAGCAAUUGGCUGGUGAAAAACUGCCCAGAUGUUUAUAGGCAGGAGACUGGAUUCGACUUUCACUGGCUCAUCAGCAGCAGCAGAGUCAGACUUUGCUUGAAGCAAUUGGCUGGUGAAAAACUGCCCAGAUGUUUAUAGGCAGGAGACUGGAUUCGACUUUCACUGGCUCAUCAGCAGCAGGGUUUCGACUUUGCUUGAACCAAUUGCUGCCGACAAAGAUGCACUUUUCCAGAAGUCCCCAGAGCCGUGUUGCUGAUGGGAUGUGUAAAAAUACUCGGUGGGAUUGUGGUUCCCCCCCCCCCGUGGAGAGAUAAAAGAUGGGACGGAGGCGUUAUACAUGCUGUGAAGAUUAUGCAUUGUGCGUUGGACACUCAUAGGUUACACAGUAUAUGUACUAUUAAUAAUAAAAAAACAUGUAUGUAUAUAUAGAUGAUGGAAGAAACCGAUGACGCGAAUAAAGAUAUGAAAUUAAAAUGAAGGCUGCGGUGUGGAGAUGCCGCGAUGGUCAAAUCGUCAUCGGGGUACGGCAAAGUCCUCGCCGAACGCGCGGUUGUUCACACCUUAACGCGUUUCCUCCGUAACGCGGAACGCGCGCUCGCUACAACGCGGCUUCUGAGCGCUCGACGGCGAACUACUUUCUUGAGCUGCGGGGCCAAGCGGAGUGAUACAGUAACCGCGAGGUGAUACUGUGAUGCGGCGGCGGCGGCUAAGUGUAUUUGUCCCGCCGUCUCACUGCGUGGUUGUGCGGUUCGUGCAGUCCAUCGAACGUGACCGUGAAUUGCGCAACUUACGGGCGAGUCGCUUCCGCGAAAUGCGCUUCUCGUUUUGACGCGACGCUUGCAUCUCCCACUCGCGCGUUGGACGAGGACUCGCUGUGCAGCGUUCGGAUGAAUGCAGGCCACGUGCCACCUGAAUCCAGGCCACGUGCCACCUGAAUCCAGGCCACGUGCCGCCUGCGAUGCAGGCCACGUGCCACCUGAAUCCAGGCCACGUGCCGCCUGCGAUGCAGGCCACGUGCCGCCUGCGAUGCAGGCCACGUGCCGCUUGCGAUGCAGGUCACGUGCCGCCUGCGAUGCAGGUCACGUGCCGCCUGUGUUGUGACGGUGAGUGACGACUGCAGCCCGUCUGUGCUCAAGCAGUUAAAUAGUUUAAUUGGACUUGUUUAGGGAGCAGCACAGACAAAAUCAUGAUAGCAAUAAUAAGACAAUGCUAGGUAACUUAAAAACAAAAAAA